rnacentral:rRNA from 1 species
UACGAAGGGGGCUAGCGUUGUUCGGAAUUACUGGGCGUAAAGCGCACGUAGGCGGACUAUUAAGUCAGGGGUGAAAUCCCGGGGCUCAACCCCGGAACUGCCUUUGAUACUGGCGAUCUCGAGUCCGGGAGAGGUGAGUGGAACUGCGAGUGUAGAGGUGAAAUUCGUAGAUAUUCGCAAGAACACCAGUGGCGAAGGCGGCUCACUGGCCCGGUACUGACGCUGAGGUGCGAAAGCGUGGGGAGCAAACAGG